rnacentral:rRNA from 1 species
AUUGAACGCUGGCGGCAUGCUUUACACAUGCAAGUCGAACGGCAGCACGGGCUUCGGCCUGGUGGCGAGUGGCGAACGGGUGAGUAAUAUAUCGGAACGUACCCAGAAGUGGGGGAUAACGUAGCGAAAGAUACGCUAAUAACGCAUACGAUCUAUGGAUGAAAGCAGGGGACCGCAAGGCCUUGUGCUCCUGGAGCGGCCGAUAGCUGAUUAGCUAGUUGGUGAGGUAAAGGCUCACCAAGGCGACGAUCAGUAGCUGGUCUGAGAGGACGACCAGCCACACUGGAACUGAGACACGGUCCAGACUCCUACGGGAGGCAGCAGUGGGGAAUUUUGGACAAUGGGCGCAAGCCUGAUCCAGCAAUCCCGCGUGAGUGAAGAAGGCCUUCGGGUUGUAAAGCUCUUUUGUCAGGGAAGAAACGGUAGAGGCUAAUAUCCUUUGCUAAUGACGGUACCUGAAGAAUAAGCACCGGCUAACUACGUG